rnacentral:rRNA from 1 species
ACGGUCCUAAGGUAGCGAAAUUCCUUGUCGGGUAAGUUCCGACCUGCACGAAUGGCAUAAUGAUGGCCAGGCUGUCUCCACCCGAGACUCAGUGAAAUUGAAAUCGCCGUGAAGAUGCGGUGUACCCGCGGCUAGACGGAAAGACCCCGUGAACCUUUACUAUAGCUUGACACUGAACAUUGAAUUUUGAUGUGUAGGAUAGGUGGGAGACUUAGAAGUAGUCACGCCAGUGAUUAUGGAGUCGUCCUUGAAAUACCACCCUUUAACGUUUGAUGUUCUAACGAAGAUUACGAAACGUGGUCUCGGACAGUGUCUGGUGGGUAGUUUGACUGGGGCGGUCUCCUCCCAAAGAGUAACGGAGGAGCACGAAGGUUUGCUAAUGACGGUCGGACAUCGUCAGGUUAGUGCAAUGGUAUAAGCAAGCUUAACUGCGAGACAGACAAGUCGAGCAGGUACGAAAGUAGGUCAUAGUGAUCCGGUGGUUCUGAAUGGAAGGGCCAUCGCUCAACGGAUAAAAGGUACUCCGGGGAUAACAGGCUGAUACCGCCCAAGAGUUCAUAUCGACGGCGGUGUUUGGCACCUCGAUGUCGGCUCAUCACAUCCUGGGGCUGAAGUAGGUCCCAAGGGUAUGGCUGUUCGCCAUUUAAAGUGGUACGCGAGCUGGGUUUAGAACGUCGUGAGACAGUUCGGUCCCUAUCUGCCGUGGGCGUUGGAGAAUUGAUUGGGGCUGCUCCUAGUACGAGAGGACCGGAGUGGACGCACCACUGGUGUUCCGGUUGUGUCGCCAGACGCAUUGCCGGGUAGCUAAGUGCGGAAGAGAUAAGUGCUGAAAGCAUCUAAGCACGAAACUUGCCAAGAGAUGAGUUCUCCCAGAUUAUAAAUCUGUAAGGGUUGUUUAAGACUAAGACGUAGAUAGGUCUGGUGUGUAAGCGGUGCGAGCCGUUGAGCUAACAGAUACUAAUUGCCCGAGAGGCUUAACUAU